rnacentral:misc_RNA from 1 species
GAUGAAGAACGCAGCGAAAUGCGAUACGUAAUGUGAAUUGCAGAAUUCAGUGAAUCAUCGAAUCUUUGAACGCACCUUGCACCCUUUGGCAUUCCGAAGGGUAUGCUCGUUUGAGUGUCAUUGUACGCUCACACUCUCCGAUCCUAUGGAUUCGGGGAGCGGUGGACUUGGGUGUUGCUGCCUUUCCCUGUGGCUCACCUCAAAUGCGUCAGUGCACCUCUUGGUUGGACAUAGUACGGCGUGAUAAGUGUCUUCGCCGGCACCUCGCAAGAGGGUGGCCGAUCGGGAGCUCUGCGCUUUCAAACCGUCUUCGGACAAUUUCUGACAUCUUGACCUCAAAUCGAGUAGGACUACCCGCUGAACUUAAGCAUAUCAAUAAGCGGAGGA